rnacentral:rRNA from 1 species
ACAAGCGGUGGAGCGUGUGGUUUAAUUCGAAGCAACGCGAAGAACCUUACCAGGUCUUGACAUCCCGAUGCUAUUUCUAGAGAUAGAAAGUUACUUCGAUACAUCGGUGACAGGUGGUGCAUGGUUGUCGUCAGCUCGUGUCGUGAGAUGUUGGGUUAAGUCCCGCAACGAGCGCAACCCCUAUUGUUAGUUGCCAUCAUUCAGUUGGGCACUCUAGCGAGACUGCCGGUAAUAAACCGGAGGAAGUGGGGAUGACGUCAAAUCAUCAUGCCCCUUAUGACCUGGGCUACACACGUGCUACAAUGGUUGGUACAACGAGUUGCGAGUCGGUGACGGCGAGCUAAUCUCUUAAAGCCAAUCUCAGUUCGGAUUGUAGGCUGCAACUCGCCUACAUGAAGUCGGAAUCGCUAGUAAUCGCGGAUCAGCACGCCGCGGUGAAUACGUUCCCGGGCCUU